ensembl:lncRNA
CUUUUUUUUUUCACCUUGAAGACGACGCCUAAAUUGCGAUCUUGUAUUUACACUAAUUCGUUGUAUUCAGAAGGUCCGUUUCUUGUAUUUAUCAGUUUUAAAGACCGCCAAGCCGUAAUUAUGCUAUUGUCAAUAAUAAAUACAGAACAAGAGUCUACUUUGACUGGAUUUGAUUGGAAUAUCAUUUUCAAGGCUGUCUGGUGAACGUUUCGAGAUGUGGGACUAAUUUAUGCAUUUCCCAAACGUGCUGCUUUGGAGCACGGCUAUUUUUUUUUAUCCUCAGAAAACGUACUCUCAGGUAAAUUACUUUCUAAAUCAAUGAACGGCAUGAUGAUAUUGUAAAGAGGCCGUUCUUUCAGAUGAGAAGGCAAGGGGAGAUCAAUUUUCCGGGCUGACAUAGGCUUUUCAGUACACGACACACUGGCCUGACGUUAAACACAGAUGCGCGCGAAUUUCGGCUGUAUAAUAUGGAACGCCGUUUGGGUCUUUAGUGUCAAAAAGAUACACGUCAAAUAACACUAUUUGAGGCGUCAAAUAACACUAUUUGACACGUCACGUAAGCUUCUUUACCAAUCUGCACCUGCAUAUGACCCCACGUCACAUAAUAAUUUAACACUUUGUACGUAGUUUAUUACACAUUGAUUACACUCUCACUCUAUUUCAUACGUCACAACGAUUCACCGAUACGUGUCGCUAUGAGUCAUAGAUUUUGUCACCGAUGAUAACAUUUGCAUAAAGGCCAUUUGGACUCCGCCCAAGUCUCAGGUACUGAUGAAAGACAUUCACUCAACUUCUGUUCUCCCGAGGUAAAAAAAAAUCAAUGGCUGCCCAAUUUCUGGAAGAUCGUAAAUCUACCAUCUCUGAUUUGCACCAGACUGCUGCUCACGGACAGAAGAGAUGGACUUCAACCAUCAAUAGCCCGGUGGAGGAUUGUUAUCCAUGGUGCUGUGGAUGGUUACAGCAGACUUGUUGGGUUUCUGAAGGCCUCUGACAACAACAGGAGUGCCACAGUCAUGGAUGUCAUUCGAAGCAGCCAUCACCAGCUACGGAGUACCAUCCCGGGUGAGAUGUGACCCGGGUGGUGAAAACAACCGUAUCUGUGCCUUCAUGGAGCAAUUCAGGGGUGGUGAGAGGGGAAGUGCCCUCAGAGGAAGGAGCACACAACCAGAGGAUAGAGUGGCUGUAGGGGGACGUCUGGCAUGGAGUCUCCAACGUUUACCAUGACCUGUUCACCUUCUUGGAGACGGAGCAGAUCAUCGACAUCAACAAUGGGGUGGACCUGUGGGCACUGCACUUUGUGUUCCAGCCACGGAUGAACAGAGAUCUUGCUGUGUUUGCCAGUCAGGGGACCCACCAUGGGCUGAGGACUGAACAACGGCAGUCACCUCUGCAGUUGUUCGUCUCGGGCUCCCUGGCAAUGCAGAGGGCCAAUCUGACAGCUGUAAGGGAUUUGUUUGCCCCAAAUUCAACCACCAUCAGCUCUCAAGCCACCACCUCAGCUCCUCCUCCAACAACCAUCACCUCAGCGCCUCCUCCAACCACCACCUCAGCUCCUCCUCCAACAACCAUCACCUCAGCGCCUCCUCCAACCACCACCUCAGCUCCUCCUCCAACAACCACCACCUCAGCUCCUCCUCCAACAACCAUCACCUCAGCGCCUCCUCCAACCACUGGCGCCGCAGCUAUUUAUUGGUCGGAAUGGGUGAUUGUGCCACAAACCCAGUUCACCAUCAGCAACACACAGAUGGAGCUGUUGUGGACAAUAAUUCAAUUGGAAGUCCCCAGAGGCAGCCUGGGAGUUGACAUUCUACAGAGGGUUAUGGCAGUUAUAUCUUCAGCGCCACUCGUUCCUACUUCAACCUGAUUUAUACUCCCCUACUGGGAUGAGGGAUUGGAUGCUAUAUCUUCAGCUCCACUCCUUCCUUUGAAUCAGUUCAUUUUUAUAAUACUAUUAUACAUUUUAUAAUACUAACAUUCCCCCUCUCACACACUGUAUGAUUUGGUCUCUAGAAAGGUGCGACAGACAUUUACAACUCUAAACAGAUGGGGACCAGAGUUUAGACACAGGUGGCCUUAACAAAAGUGACGUACUUCUCCAUUCCGUUAUGAUUUUGUUUGCUCAUAUUUGGAGAGUGUCAGGUACUGUUAAGAUAUAAGGCUGAAGGUUAUUGUAUUUUGCUCUAUGGCGCUUUAGCACAGCAUUCCAUCUGCUGACACAAUGUUUGUCUUCCACUCAGUAUAACACGACCCAGGAGAGGCCUACUGCAAGCACUGGAUUAGAGCCUUCAGAGCGCGCCUGCUGUGGGAGGACAACAGAACAUUCUGAAUGGACAUUAUUAAAACAGAACUUGCAUUUUUGUAAUGCCCAAUCGGGACUUUUAUAAAUUGUUAAAAUAAAUGUGUGGAGAAAGCCCUAUAGUUAAAAAAAAUAAUUUAAAAAAACUAUGAAGAUAGGGAUUCGGCUCCCGUUACAUUUUAUAUCUUUGUGAUUAACAGCAACCGAUUACAGUUACUAACAUAACAUUGUUGACACAUUGUGGCAGCUCAAAUGAUGUGGUUGAAGAUGGACUAGUGCAGGGCUCUCCAACCCUGUACCUGGAGAGCUACUGUCUUGUAAGUUCACUCCAACCCUAAUCUAGUGCACCUGAUUUGAAUAAUUACCUGCUUAAUAAAUUAAUCAGGUUAGUUACAAUUGAGGUUGGAUUGAAAACCUACAGGAGGGCAGCUCUCCAGGAACAAGGUUGGAGAGCUUUGGACUAAUGGAUCUAGUUCUUAGAUCAAUGCAUUUGAAAUUCGAUAAGUUACUACGAAGGUGCAGUUCCCAGAAGUGGAGCUGUCACUUAAUACAGUGGAUGGGAAGUCUUAUUUCAUGUAGUUCUAAUUAAAUGAUUGUUGAAGUUUAUUGUUCUUAAUGUAGGACAUCAAAUUAUCAGAUUUGGAUGAGUUGGCUGCGAUAUGGCAGGAGUACUUCAGUCAAUAUCAGCAAAGGAUAUUGGUUAUUAGUGAAGUGUCAGUAAAGUGUUUCUAAAAAAUAAAAAAAACGCCAAGACAAGCAAUAUGGAUUGUAAUAAUUUAAUUUUAAAGGAUCAUUAAGUGCACAAUAACAGCCGAUAUGGAAAUACAGUGCAUUUGGAAAGUAUUCAGACCCCCUUGACUUUUUCCACAUUUUGUUACAUUAGAGCCUUAUUCUAAAAUCUAUUAAAUAAAUUAAAAUGUAGCGUCAUACCCAAGAAGACUGAUGUAAUCGCUGCUUCAGCAAAGUACUAAGUAAAGGGUCAUACAUGUAAUAUAUCCUCUUUUUUUAUAUAUACAUUUGCAAAAAUGUAAACCUGUUUUUGCUUUGUCAUUAUGGGGUAUUGUGUGUAGAUUGAUGAGGGGGAAAAUUUUAUCCGUUUUUUAAUAAGGCUGUAACGUAAUAAAAAGGCAAGAGGUCUGAAUACCAUACAAACAAGUAGAUAAAUGCUUAAAUGUCGAUGUGCUGUUACAUUUUCAGACACUCAAUUGCUACUGUAGUUUAGUGCUACUAGAUACAAUUAUGUGUCGUAAAAAUGUUUUUAUGCAACACCGAAAUGUGGGGAAUUCACAAUACCGGAGGUCAUGAAUUCCCUAAAGGCAUUGUAGGUGCUAUGAAGAGGGAGCCUUAGUGUCACAGCACACGUGUUUGCCACUGGGUACUUUUUCUUCUACUGCCUAGCGAGACUCCCUCGCGCUGUGUGUGAGGAAUUCGAUGGUCGGGGUGUCCUCAAACCCAAGGGGUGGCAUCACCGUUGCCCCAGUAGCAAACUCCAACACCAUCGCCACUGUUAGA